GACGAACGCUGGCGGCGUGCCUAAUACAUGCAAGUCGAGCGAAUCUUUUGGGAGCUUGCUCCCGAAAGAUUAGCGGCGGACGGGUGAGUAACACGUGGGCAACCUGCCUAUAAGACUGGGAUAACUUCGGGAAACCGGAGCUAAUACCGGAUACGUUUUUUUCUCGCAUGAGAGAAGAUGGAAAGACGGUCUCGGCUGUCACUUAUAGAUGGGCCCGCGGCGCAUUAGCUAGUUGGUGGGGUAAUGGCUCAACAAGGCGACGAUGCGUAGCCGACCUGAGAGGGUGAUCGGCCACACUGGGACUGAGACACGGCCCAGACUCCUACGGGAGGCAGCAGUAGGGAAUCUUCCGCAAUGGACGAAAGUCUGACGGAGCAACGCCGCGUGAACGAAGAAGGCCUUCGGGUCGUAAAGUUCUGUUGUUAGGGAAGAACAAGUACCAGAGUAACUGCUGGUACCUUGACGGUACCUAACCAGAAAGCCACGGCUAACUACGUGCCAGCCGCCGCAGUAAUAC
rnacentral:rRNA from 1 species